UACGGAGGGUGCGAACGUUAAUCGGAAUCACUGGGCGUAAAGCGCGCGUAGGCGGUCUGUUAAGUGGGAUGUGAAAUCCCCGGGCUUAACCUGGGAAUUGCAUUUCAAACUGGCCGACUAGAGUACGGUAGAGGGAGGUAGAAUUCCUGUGUAGCGGUGAAAUGCGUAGAUAUAGGAAGGAACACCAGUGGCGAAGGCGGCUCACUGGCCCGGUACUGACGCUGAGGCGCGAAAGCGGUGGGGAGCAAACAGG
rnacentral:rRNA from 1 species